rnacentral:tRNA from 2 species
GGCCUGAUAGUUCAGUGGUAGAAUUCUUGCUUUGGGAAACUGAAAUGUAAGAGGUCUCCGGUUCGAUCCCGGAUUAGGCCC